AAAAAUUGUUUCUCAGAGUUCUGGAGGCUGGGAAGUCCAAUACCAAGGUGCUGGCCUCCUGUGAGGGUCUUUUUGCUGGAUCAUCCCAUCCCAAGGCUUUGAGGCAAACUUCCCUAUGACCUGACCAAGCAUCAUGAGGAGCUCCUGUCAAGGAAGACCCUGGGUCCCUGAACUGGACACAUCAGGGUCUCAAACCAGUCUCAGCAAACGACUUCUGGUUCCUCAUCUCUAAAGUGAGAAUAAAGUGUCUACCUCAUAAGAGGAUUCAAUAAAAUAAUGGAUAUAAA
rnacentral:lncRNA from 10 species